GGUCUUUAACCCUCAGUUCAUGUAGAGUUCCAGGUUCCUUUGUUCAGAUGCAGAACUGUUUGGGAUGUUCUUUAACUUCUAUCUGCCCGAAACCGUCAGAUUUGUUUACCUGCUUCGACACUUGGUGCAUCCAUGGAGUUUCGUCUUUGUGUGGAAAUUACUCAGCCUCGGACCAAGUUCACGUCUCAUCUUUCAAGUUGACUGAUGAGUUGGUGAGGACUGUCUAUGUCUGCUGUAUUCCUCAGAGCAUCAUCUGACGUGUCCUUGAGGAAGACGUGGUUGAAACAUGUCAGGAAGGUUGCGGAGUGGAACACUCCAUCACACAUCUGUAGACCUUGUGUGCCUGAGCAAGGCAUUGUGCUGGAUGCUAGUCAUCAGAAAACUGCUAUACAGAGAUAAAUGAAGGCGCUGAUGGAUGGAUGGAUGGAUGGAUCGGGGAGGAGAAGAUUGAAAGGGACUGAAAAAUGUACAAGCAAGUUAAUGUGAAACGAGUGGAAAGAUAUACGGGACACACAAAGGGCAGACAAAUUACCUGAUUUUCUGUAUCUAGAGAAGCGCAAGAGGCUAAUAAAGUGAACAAAAUGUAAGUAAAAUGUAAAUAAGUUUUACACAGAAAGUAAGUCAUUAAAAGAACUAGAAAGAUAAUAGAACACAAUCAGAUUUUUAUCAGCAUUUCUAAGUAGCACAAUGUAGUUUUAGCAGAUUUCUCUUUAGCGUGCAACAGUUUAAAGCAAAAUAUAAAGAUAAUGUUUUCACAGGAUGCAGGUAUAAAAGGUGUGACAGUCACUGGGUGCACAGAGGUUACUGUUGGAGAUGAUUUCUUUAAUGAUUUGUUUUCAUCAUUAGUUGGGUCUUUUCUUUCUGUUGUGUUUUUCUAUUGUUAGGCCCUUUUGUCAUUUAUUAUAAAUCAUGUUCACUAUUAUUAUUAUUGUUAUUAUUUAUAAAUGGUAAUAUAUUGAAGAAGCAGGAAGAAUAGUUUUGCAAUUACUUGUGGAAGGAGAA
ensembl:lncRNA